GUGCUAUCUUCAGCAGCACAUAUACUAAAAUUGCAACAAUACAGAUUAGUAUGCCCCCUAUGCAAGGAUGACAGGUAAAUUCAUGAAGCAUUCUAUAUUUAA
rnacentral:snRNA from 1 species